GGUCCUACGGGGGGCAGCAGUGAGGAAUAUUGGUCAAUGGGCGCUAGCCUGAACCAGCCAAGUAGCGUGAAGGAUGACUGCCCUAUGGGUUGUAAACUUCUUUUAUAUGGGAAUAAAGUGCAGUAUGUAUACUGCUUUGCAUGUACCUUAUGAAUAAGGAUCGGCUAACUCCGUGCCAGCAGCCGCGGUAAUACGGAGGAUCCGAGCGUUAUCCGGAUUUAUUGGGUUUAAAGGGUGCGUAGGCGGAUCGUUAAGUCAGUGGUCAAAUUGAGGGGCUCAGCCCCUUCCCGCCAUUGAAACUGGCG
rnacentral:rRNA from 1 species